rnacentral:rRNA from 1 species
UACAGAGGGGGCAAGCGUUGUUCGGAAUUACUGGGCGUAAAGGGCGCGUAGGCGGCCUUCUAAGUCGAACGUGAAAUCCCUGGGCUCAACCCAGGAACUGCGUCCGAUACUGGGAGGCUUGAAUCCGGGAGAGGGAUGUGGAAUUCCAGGUGUAGCGGUGAAAUGCGUAGAUAUCAUGAGGAAGACCAGUGGCGAAGGCGGGUCUCUGGACAGUUACUGACACUGAGGCACGAAGGCCAGGGGAGCAAACGGG